GGAUUUUUUGAACCUGCAGCCGAACGUGCGUGUAGCCGUUGCACGAAUUUUGAUGGUAUCCCAUUGCCACGUCAUCCCAGGGACGCGUUCGGGUUGAAGGCAAAUUCCCCCGAACGUUUUUUUACUAGCGUACCUUAUCCUUUCCCCGACAAUCACCGGCUCACCCACUCCCCCGAGUAUCCCCUCACCUUAUCAUUCCGGCGAUUACAGCGGCGAGGCCUUUCGGCGGUUGGAGCAGCGGCGUGCGGGGCACGAGUGCUGCGGGAGGGCGCCGUAUGCGGGCACCACGUUGUGAACCUGCGGGAGGAGGCGGCGGCGAGGAUGGCCCGCGGGAGGAGGCGGCGAGGUUGCGACCCGCGGGGAGGGGGCAACGGCGAGUGCGGCUGCGAGGAUGCGGCCCGCGGGAGGAGGCGGCGAGGUUGCGACCCGCGGGGAGGGGGCAACGGCGAGUGCGGCUGCGAGGAUGCGGCCCGCGGGAGGAGGCGGCGAGGUAGCGUGGCGCUCCCGGUCGCGCCGGCCACCCACAUCCUGGCGCUUGCCAGUCGCCGACAGCGCCGUCGGCGAGGACCCGUUCGCGGCAUCGCUUGCCGGGUCGCGCGAGUACGGCGGCGAGGAUGCGAGAGGGCUGCAUCCGGCGGCUACGUAGCCUGUAGCUAUGGAGGCUGACGCGGGACAUGAGGGAGGGAGUGGCUAGUGAUGGGGGCGAGGGAUGGCGCCGCCACGGCCAGCAUGUCCACGGGACGCCGGGGUCCUGCGAGGUGGACUCCGCCAAGACCGGCGGCAAGGGCUCCCGCGGUGCACUGAGCAGUUCGGUAAAUGGGAGGCACUCGGGACGCACAAUCUGUCAAAACAUGCAGGGAAUUAUUUGGGCUAGCAGGCCUAACAGAAGGUCUAGGUAACGUGAGGGUGGAACGUUCGGGAUGGAGGAUUUUUGGGCCGAACAAAUUUGUUCGAUCGAUGGACCAUCCAGUACGAACGACUCGUUCGGUCUGGGAGACCCCCAGACCGAACGUACGGUACUUAUCGAUGUCCAAUGUUUAUACAUUCGGAUGUGUUUGCGGACAGUGAUAAAAGGCGGCCACCAAUCUUAGUACAUCAAAUGAUGCUGAUAGAGAUUGUUUUUUGCUGGCUCAACAGAUGGGACACCAUAAAACUGUAUUACAAUCUGACUGUAUCCAAAGUUACUGAAGCUCUACUAGCUGGUGGUUUCUCGUCAACAACUAGCUCCUCAAUAUUUCAUGAAUGUGCAUUGAUUGCUUGCGGUUUUGAUGAGGUUAGUUUUGUUUUUCUGUCCAAGGGAAGCCAAUACGGUGGCGCAUAAGAGCAAGUAUAAUAGUCCUACUCAGCCGGCUAUAAGCGAUUCCACGUCAGCAAAUAUCUGAGCUGGAGGGAAGUAAAGGCAGGAGAGAGAAGGGAGCGAGCGCUUGACAAAGCGCCCGGCUGUAGCACAAGACGCGAGGGAGUUCCGCCCGCAUGCAGCCUGAAGCCAGCGCUAGGGCCGCUGCUCCCGAUUCCCUGUACCUCACCAUCCAAUCAACUGCUUUUCCCUUUCUCUUCUUGCAUGUACACAUUAAUUACUCUAGUCAGCCAGCAGCUCAUGUAGAGCCAGCCUUAUUACACAAGACGUCUUUUACAGCAGCUAUUGCUGACAAGGCACACGUAUAGAGCCAGCAGCGGACGACUCUAUUAGCCAUGCUCUAAGAUAGCUAGGUAUCCUUAAAAUCCUGUAGAUUAUGUUUGCUGAGUCAAUGAACACCUUAGCUUUC